CCACCACUCACCCCCACUCCCCCCAUGUUCGUCCCUCCCUGAUCCAGAUCAGGAUCGGGGGAAGGGACUGCAUCGCUGCACGCACCCGUCGCCUACUCCGGUGCCCACCGUGCCCUCUCCUCCUCUCGCGGCCGCGCGGCCGCGCCACCGCCGCCGCGCCCGCGCCCGGGGAUCCGCCACCUCCCGCCGUCCUCGCACCAUCGCCUCGCAUGAGCUCCUCCCAUGGCCACCGCCUAGUUGUGUCGCGCCAAGUCGCCCCUCACCGGAGAUGGACGGAUCCCGGAGGCCCCGUCGCGGGUCCGGCCUCCCUCGCCUUCUUCCCGCUCACCGGAGCCCCCCUCGUCACCCGCCGCCGUCGACGGAACCUCCCCGACCUCCUCCUCACGGGUCGCCGCCACGCCUCGCCGCCCCCGCUCCCCGCCAACGGCUACACCGAGACCGACACCGCUGCUACCCAGUACGACUAUGUUGUUGACGACCCCUCUCUCUUGGCAGAGCAACCAGACGAUGGAGCCCAGGAGCCAGACGCCACUAUCGAUGAUGACUACUACUACUCGGGAGGUGCCUACUACUACGUGCAGCCCGCUGACGACGACCAGGAGUAGCUUAGGAGGAUCCCAGGCAGGAGGCCUACGCCUCUUUCGAUCAGUAUCCCAGUUUGUGCUAGCCUUCUUAAGGCAAACUUGUUUGACUUAUGUCUGUACUCAGAUAUUGUUGCUUCCGCUGACUCGUCUAUGAUCGAGCUCUUGUAUUCGAGCCCUCGAGGCCCCUGGCUUGUAAUAUGAUGCUUGUAUGACUUAUUUUAUUUGUAGAGUUGUGUUGCGAUAUCUUCC
rnacentral:rRNA from 1 species